rnacentral:rRNA from 1 species
ACGCGAAGACCUUACCUGGGCUUGACAUCCCGCGCUAUCCUAUGAAAGUAGGAGUUCCUUCGGGACGCGGAGACAGGUGUUGCAUGGCUGUCGUCAGCUCGUGUCGUGAGAUGUUGGGUUAAGUCCCGCAACGAGCGCAACCCCCGCCAUUAGUUGCCAGCAUUUAGUUGGGCACUCUAAUGGGACCGCUUGCUGAUAAGGCAGAGGAAGGUGGGGAUGACGUCAAGUCCGCAUGGCCCUUACGCCCAGGGCCACACACGUGUUACAAUGGCUAGUACAAAGGGUUGCAAUCCCGUAAGGGUGAGCUAAUCUCAUAAAACUAGUCUAAGUUCGGAUUGAGGUCUGCAACUCGACCUCAUGAAGUUGAAAUCGCUAGUAAUCGCGCAUCAGAACGGCGCGGUGAAUACGUUCUCGGGUCUUGUACACACCG